AGAGUUUGAUCCUGGCUCAGGACGAACGCUGGCGGCGUGCCUAAUACAUGCAAGUCGAGCGGACAGAAGGGAGCUUGCUCCCGGAUGUUAGCGGCGGACGGGUGAGUAACACGUGGGUAACCUGCCUGUAAGACUGGGAUAACUCCGGGAAACCGGAGCUAAUACCGGAUAGUUCCUUGAACCGCAUGGUUCAAGGAUGAAAGACGGUUUCGGCUGUCACUUACAGAUGGACCCGCGGCGCAUUAGCUAGUUGGUGGGGUAAUGGCUCACCAAGGCGACGAUGCGUAGCCGACCUGAGAGGGUGAUCGGCCACACUGGGACUGAGACACGGCCCAGACUCCUACGGGAGGCAGCAGUAGGGAAUCUUCCGCAAUGGACGAAAGUCUGACGGAGCAACGCCGCGUGAGUGAUGAAGGUUUUCGGAUCGUAAAGCUCUGUUGUUAGGGAAGAACAAGUGCGAGAGUAACUGCUCGCACCUUGACGGUACCUAACCAGAAAGCCACGGCUAACUACGUGCCAGCAGCCGCGGUAAUACGUAGGUGGCAAGCGUUGUCCGGAAUUAUUGGGCGUAAAGGGCUCGCAGGCGGUUUCUUAAGUCUGAUGUGAAAGCCCCCGGCUCAACCGGGGAGGGUCAUUGGAAACUGGGAAACUUGAGUGCAGAAGAGGAGAGUGGAAUUCCACGUGUAGCGGUGAAAUGCGUAGAGAUGUGGAGGAACACCAGUGGCGAAGGCGACUCUCUGGUCUGUAACUGACGCUGAGGAGCGAAAGCGUGGGGAGCGAACAGGAUUAGAUACCCUGGUAGUCCACGCCGUAAACGAUGAGUGCUAAGUGUUAGGGGGUUUCCGCCCCUUAGUGCUGCAGCUAACGCAUUAAGCACUCCGCCUGGGGAGUACGGUCGCAAGACUGAAACUCAAAGGAAUUGACGGGGGCCCGCACAAGCGGUGGAGCAUGUGGUUUAAUUCGAAGCAACGCGAAGAACCUUACCAGGUCUUGACAUCCUCUGACAACCCUAGAGAUAGGGCUUUCCCUUCGGGGACAGAGUGACAGGUGGUGCAUGGUUGUCGUCAGCUCGUGUCGUGAGAUGUUGAGUUAAGUCCCGCAACGAGCGCAACCCUUGAUCUUAGUUGCCAGCAUUUAGUUGGGCACUCUAAGGUGACUGCCGGUGACAAACCGGAGGAAGGUGGGGAUGACGUCAAAUCAUCAUGCCCCUUAUGACCUGGGCUACACACGUGCUACAAUGGACAGAACAAAGGGCUGCAAGACCGCAAGGUUUAGCCAAUCCCAUAAAUCUGUUCUCAGUUCGGAUCGCAGUCUGCAACUCGACUGCGUGAAGCUGGAAUCGCUAGUAAUCGCGGAUCAGCAUGCCGCGGUGAAUACGUUCCCGGGCCUUGUACACACCGCCCGUCACACCACGAGAGUUUGCAACACCCGAAGUCGGUGAGGUAACCUUUAUGGAGCCAGCCGCCGAAGGUGGGGCAGAUGAUUGGGGUGAAGUCGUAACAAGGUAGCCGU
rnacentral:rRNA from 1 species